GCAAACUUGGUCAUUUAGAGGAAGUAAAAGUCGUAACAAGGUUUCCGUAGGUGAACCUGCGGAAGGAUCAUUAUCGUAGGGCUUCUGUCCUGUCGAGAUAGCGUCCUUGCCUAUUUUUUGGAGUACCUUUUCGUUUCCUCAGCAGGCUUGCCUGCUACUGGGGACACCUAAAACUCUUUGUAAAUACAGCAACUGUCUGAAAAAACAAACAAAAAUCAAAACUUUCAACAAUGGAUCUCUUGGUUCUGGCAUCAAUGAAGAACGCAGC
rnacentral:misc_RNA from 1 species